ACGGAGGGUGCAAGCGUUAUCCGGAUUCACUGGGUUUAAAGGGUGCGUAGGCGGGUAAGUAAGUCCGUGGUGAAAUCUCUGAGCUUAACUCAGAAACUGCCGUGGAUACUAUUUGCCUUGAAUAUUGUGGAGGUGAGCGGAAUAUGUCAUGUAGCGGUGAAAUGCUUAGAUAUGACAUAGAACACCAAUUGCGAAGGCAGCUCACUACACAAUUAUUGACGCUGAGGCACGAAAGCGUGGGGAUCAAACAGGAUUAGAUACCCUGGUAGUCCACGCCCUAAACGAUGAUUACUCGACAUCAGCGAUACACUGUUGGUGUCUGAGCGAAAGCAUUAAGUAAUCCACCUGGGAAGUACGAUCGCAAGAUUG
rnacentral:rRNA from 1 species